UAGGAGCCGGAGCGGGGACAUGCUGCUGCUUCCGGGAGCUGCUUGAGAACAGCAUCUCCCCCUGCUGCCCAGCCUCCCCUACGCGAUCAAGGAUAGCAGUGCAAGACUGAGUCACAGCCACGCCACACCACUGCACUCCAGGCGCUGCGGGGAGUGCCCCAGGCUGCACCGGUCCGGGCGCUGUACAGGGGCGAAGGAGAGCAAGAGCGGCAGCGCCCCCAACAACCACCCCCACCCCAGCUCCCGGCCAGCCCUGCCGGAGCAGCAUGAGGCAAAGCCCGGAGCCAGCGACACCUGUUUCCGUUGCUUUCCUAAAUGCCCAGGUGUUGACGACUAGCGGCAGCGCAGCCAGACCCGCGCCCGCCGCCCCGGACACAGGCGGCAGCAGCAGAAGAAGGAAGCGGAGAGCCUGACGCGCGCUGAACCCCAUUGCCGCGCGCCGGCUGCACUCAUACAUCAUCCGGGAAGCGCGCGCCUGAGCUCGUGACUAAUCACGCGGCCACAAUUUCACAAUCCCACCCGGAAGACGCGCCCGACCGCCAGGGAGGGGAAGCAGCUGCCACGGCUGAGCGAAUGGCUCCGCCCCCUCGCCGUUCCGUGCUCCCUCCCUCCGCUGUUACCAUCCCCAACCCACUCCUCCCCCGGCAGAGCCCAUGUGCUGCUGAGCUGUGGACUGGGCUCAGGUCCCUCGCGCCCAGCGCACUCAGUGUAGGCGGCUGGUGCCAACAGGGCAGAGGUGGGGCGGCCACAGGGCUGCCCCCCACCUGCACCAGGCUGAGAUGUGAGCUGGACCACCCCUUGUUCUGUGCCCAGGUGCCAGCUCUGACUCACCCUGGGGUGGGCCUGCCCAGGGUCUCUCACCUGAGUUCUGUGAGUUAGAGCUGGUGCCAUGGCACAGACGAGGGGGAGCUGGCCUCGAGGUGAUGCCUUAUGUCCCAGGCAUUGGGACACGUGCUCUGAGGCUAAGGCAAGGUGUGGGCAGUCACCUCACCCUAACUCAGGGCAGGCACCGUUGCCACCCAGGAAAGCACCUGUGCCACUUUGAUGACUCUUGCAAUGCACAGAGCAGGCCACCCCCAUCUGAGAUGUGAAUGUGUGUUGUUUAUUUCAUUAUGUUUCAAUUAUUAUUAUUUGUCUUGGGGCACUGCUGUUGUUGCCACCUCUCCUAAUAUUUGAUUUUUGUCUGAAAACCGCAACUCCAGGAGUUUUAAUUACCAGGAGAAUUUCAGGUGUCAUUUAAAAAAAAGGAUUUUAGCCAUCAUGGUUGCAGAGAAAAGCUUGAAAAGGGGAACUCUAAAGGCUCACAAACCAGAAGGCAAAUAAAAAGUUUUUUUUUUAAAUCUUAUGAUUUUUAAGCCAGUGUCAUGAUUUUGGGAGGCCUGACAAUUAAACUGAAGUUUGUCAGUGAUUAAGAAUGAACACAAUAAACCAGGUUCCCAUGCUCUUGGGAAAAAAAAGUAGUCUUUUUCUAUGUAUGAUCAUAAGAUUCAUGCAUCAGCUUCUAAGUGCCAUUCUGCUCUUGUAUGAGUGUAUUUUCUAGAGGGGAGUGUUUCUGUGAUGGGCUUUAACUAGUUUUCAUGAUCUUUCACUGUUGUGGCAAAUCAUUUAUUGAAGCUGACUUUAUAAAGUUUCUCUUUUUAAAAGAAAAACAAUCACAAUGUAUAUCGCAUAUUUUAUAAUCCUGCCAACUGUGCUAAAAAUUUACUGAUUAAAAAACACCUGCAACAAAUAGUUUAAAAGUGUUUAACAUGUUACUAUAGCAGCUUGAAUUAUUUUAAAGCCCCAGGCUUACAUGAUGUUAGCACCUCAGACACAGUCAAUACAAGACACUGAUUGUGUUCAGAAUAAUUGCAUACAAGCAACCAGUUAAUACUUAUGAACAACAAGAAAAACCAACUGCUGCUCUCAGAACUGGGAUGUUAUAAAGGUAUUGCAGAAAUACUUUUCCAUUCAAUAUCAUUGGUCUUCUGGAAUACAUCAUGGGCCAAAUUCAAUGAAAUUGUACCAAGAAUGUAUUUGGCCUCAUAUAGCUAGACAAUUCAUCAGAAAGAAGGAAGAUGGGAUGUCUGGGUCUUACAUAUGGCAAGGUCAAGUUUGUAGGCAUGCAUAAAUUGUCAGUACACCCAAGUUGGUUUAAAAAGCCUGCAGCUAUAUUAUUAUUAUGAUGACAAAAUAAUCCACAAACUUUGGAAGGCUGCUGUAGUCACCAAGCAACAGUAUUAUCCUUUAUUACAAAAGUCAACAACAUAAUAAAACACACUUAAAAUAUUGGGCCUGAACACAAGAAUAACUCGACUUUAGCUUCCAAGAUUUCCCAAGAGUAAAACUGCAAGAAACCUUAUUCAGGUAAAUACCCUGUUAGCUAAUUCAUUUCUGAUAUUAAAGUUCUUAUUUCUGCUAUAUAUCUCUUUAUAAGACUUGCAGGGAAAAGAUAAGGGCAAAAAAAGUAUGAGUUACUGCUAGCUUAAGGGAAUAAGGAGAAAGAAUUACUACCAAGAAAAUAGGCCUGUUAAUAAAUGAAAAGGAAGACAAAAUUAACCACUAUUCUAAAUUAGCUAUGUUACUGAACAGCUUGUAUAGUUAAUCUUUUAAGAAGAUAAAUAAAAAAGGAGUAUGGACCAUUAUGAAGUAAUGAAGAACUUGCCUUCAUAGCUUUUGUGCACAGGAAAAUACAGAUCAUGAUGAAGGUAUCUGCAUCAUGCAAGCCUAGAAGGCAGGACAUUUAAGGAACCUGAAUGUUUGGUAGGACACAUGACAGCAUGGCAUUGGGACAUGUUGCUUGUUUAAAUGUAGAUUUGGUUGGUUUUCUUUCUCUGACAGUUCUUUGUAAGUGGUAGUCAAAAUUUAGUAGCACAAAUGAUUAAGUAUCAGAGGAGUAGCCAUGUUAGUCUGUAUCAAUGAGGUGUCCGGCGGUACCUUAAAGACUAACAGAUUUAUUUGGGCAUAAACUUUCGUGGGUAAAAAAAUCACUUCUUCCAAUGCAUGGAGUCAAAUUAUUAAUCUAUCUCAUAUAGAAGAAUGUUAUUAUUUAUUACUUGUAUUGCAGAGCUCGUAUGUGCUAGGCACUGUACAAACACAUAGGGUCAAAUUCUGGCCUAACUAAUACCAGUGUAAAACUAAUAGUAAAAUCAGUAGAGUUACUCUGGAUUUACACCAGUAAAACUGAAAGCAACAUUUGGUUAGCAUCACUCAAGGGCAACUAUUGGUGCUACAUCCAUCUACUGUAAGUUAUUGAACACUUGAUUUUAAUUCUGCCUUUGUUGUAAACUGUUUUAAAAAAUAUUGUUGCCUUUGAAAGUUGUUUGUACCUCCACAGAUGUUGACUGUAUUCUGAUUCUGAUUUUCUUUCUGGAUUAAUGGAACCUCAUUGCAGUCUGCUACUAUCUUGAGUGUUAAUUGCACUCUACAGACAGGGCCGGCUCCAGUGUUUCUGCCGCCCCAAGCGGCCGGGGGUUGGGGGGAAGCUGUGAUCGGCGGCACUUCGGUGGCAGCUCCACCGCGCCACUUCGUUCUAGUGCCGAAUUGCCACCGAAGAGCCAGACGUGCCACCCCUUUCCGUUGGCCGCCGCAAGCACCUGCUUGCUGCGCUGGUGCCUGGAGCCGGCCCUGUCUACAGACCAUAGCUAAAUUAGAAUGCUGGUAGAGGUAGGAGAUGCCACAUCUAGUGAAUAAAGUGAUGAUCCAGAGAUUGAAUCCUGUUAGUAAAUUAUAAGAAGAGACAAUAUUCUAGAGAAAGACUUUCUUUGCAAAAAUCCACAGUUCACUAUAAGAUGUGCACCAGACAGCUUCUUGGUUGAUUGGUACUGAGUAAAUAAUAAAAACAGGGAGAAACUCACCUCUCCUACUAAGAGCAUCUCUUCCUACAGUGGCCAGAUUCUGCCACAAGUUACAACUGUGCAGUCUCAUUUGGGACCAUCUGUUCAAAAACUGCACGUCUAGCCAUGCUUUGUUUGUCUAAUGUUUCACAUUUUGAUGCCAUGAAAUCCAAUUGAUUUCUGUAUUUGUAGUUUGUAACUUGUUGACGUUUUUAACCUUGAUUAAGCUUUAUGACUUUCUGAAAUGAAUACACCCAUACAGAGACAAAAACACCAAACUAGAGAAUAUUUUCCUUGAGUGAACCAAAAGAGGUAAUUAUUAUUUGAUUAGCAUUUGUUGUUGAAAUUUGCAUAGCUGUACAUUUUUGCUAACACUGAAGAUUUGUGAUACAUAAGCCAUUUUUAAAUUAAAUCCAUCUUGCUACUAAUUGAAUAGAUUUUUUAUUACCUUAUUAUAUUAUCUUGAUCUAUUUAGAGUAGUUUUGUGGAAGUAGAUGUCCUCCAUUAGUCUGUAAUAAAAUCUAUUGGAGGAAAUCAUGUUUUCCUUCCUUCCUGUUACUGUUGUAAAUAUUCUGUUUCAUUUUUAAAAAAAAUAAAAAGUUGUACCAGAUUCCCA